rnacentral:siRNA from 1 species
GUUGGCAACCUCAAGUGUCUCAAA